GAACGCUAGCUACAGGCUUAACACAUGCAAGUCGAGGGGCAGCAUGAACAUAGCUUGCUAUGUUUGAUGGCGACCGGCGCACGGGUGCGUAACACGUAUCCAAUCUACCCAUGGCUCGGGGAUAGCCUUUCGAAAGAAAGAUUAAUACCCGAUGGUCUCGGUUUAAGGCAUCUUAGACUGAGUAAAGAUUUAUCGGCGAUGGAUGAGGAUGCGUCUGAUUAGGUAGAUGGCGGGGUAACGGCCCACCAUGCCUACGAUCAGUAGGGGUUCUGAGAGGAAGGUCCCCCACAUUGGAACUGAGACACGGUCCAAACUCCUACGGGAGGCAGCAGUGAGGAAUAUUGGUCAAUGGACGAGAGUCUGAACCAGCCAAGUAGCGUGAAGGAUGACUGCCCUAUGGGUUGUAAACUUCUUUUGUUUGGGAAUAAAGUUCGGGACGUGUCCCGUUUUGUAUGUACCAUUCGAAUAAGCAUCGGCUAAUUCCGUG
rnacentral:rRNA from 1 species